AAAUUCGUUGCAAAGAUUUCCUUGUAAAUUCGUUGUAAUGCUCCCUUGCAAAUUCGUUGUAACUCUAAAAACGCGGGCCUGGUAGAUUUGUCGUAAACAUGUGUCCUUGUAAAUUCGUUGUAAUUCUUUCUUUGUAAAUUCGUUGUAAUGCUUUCCUUGUGAAUUCGUUGUAACUUUACAAGGAUUUUUUUCACGAAACAUGUUACCAUUAUUUUUGGUGAAAACGUGUUUAAGCUGUUUUACCAAACUGAUUUUGUUGUAAGCAUUCUCAAGCCAAGCAAGUUAACUUCAUUUCAUACCCUCGGUUUAGAGAUUACAGAAUAAUUUGAUUAUUUGCUAUCAAGUGGUUGUUUGAUUAUAGUACUUAUAACUUGCGUUUUAAGGAUUCAAUUGGAGUUUAGGGUUUAAGAAAAAAUAUGAUAAAGGGGAUGAUGUGGUAAAAGGGUAUGGUGUAAAUAGAUAAGUGAUUUUGGGGUUUAGGGAUUUGAUUUUUGGGGUUUCAGAUAUAGUCCUAGUAAAUUCGUCGUAAUAGAAAACACACGGGCCUGGUAAAUUCCUCGUAAUACAUGUGUCCUUGUAAAUUCGUUGUAAUGCUUUCCUUGUAAUUUCAUUGUAAAGCUUUCCUUGUAAAGUCGUCGUAAAAUUUUCCUUGUAAAUUCGUCGUAAAUAUUCCUUGUAAAUUCGUUGUAAUUCUAAAAACGCGGACCUGGUAGAUUCCUUGUAACACUAAAAACGCGGGUCUGGUAGAUUCCUCGUAAAAUUACGACGACUUUACGAGGAAUGUUGUUUUCUUAUAUAAACUCGAAACAUGAAUGAGGAAUUCCUCCUUCAUUCAUCUCAAACCACUCCUCUCCUUCUCUCAAAGGUGGCUCCUAAAAAGAUGGAACUGACGGUAUGAAUAAGCUUCAUCAAUGAAGCCACAAGGACGACUUCAUCCUACUCUUCGAGACGGAACCCAUAGAUGAAGUACGAGACUCUCCAGGAAGAAACACCUCCAACAACUACUUCGACGGCAUUAUCCCUUAGCUUUUUAUUUUUCAAUUUUUUUUUGUUUUCUAUUAUUAAUUUGAAUAUUAUUUUAUGACAUUUAUAUAUUUUUUAAAAAAAUAUUUUAAUUUUCAAUAUUUUAUUUUAUAAAUUAUAUAUUUUGAUU